rnacentral:rRNA from 1 species
GACGAACGCUGGCGGCGUGCCUAAUACAUGCAAGUCGAGCGGACCGGAUUGGGGCUUGCCUUGAUUCGGUCAGCGGCGGACGGGUGAGUAACACGUGGGCAACCUGCCCGCAAGACCGGGAUAACUCCGGGAAACCGGAGCUAAUACCGGAUAACACCGAAGACCGCAUGGUCUUCGGUUGAAAGGCGGCCUUUGGGCUGUCCCUUGCCGAGCGGCCCGCGGCGCAUUAGCUAGUUGGUGAGGUAACGGCUCACCAAGGCGACGAUGCGUAGCCGGCCUGAGAGGGUGACCGGCCACACUGGGACUGAGACACGGCCCAGACUCCUACGGGAGGCAGCAGUAGGGAAUCUUCCGCAAUGGGCGAAAGCCUGACGGAGCGACGCCGCGUGAGCGAAGAAGGCCUUCGGGUCGUAAAGCUCUGUUGUGAGGGACGAAGGAGCGCCGUUCGAAGAGGGCGGCGCGGUGACGGUACCUCACGAGAAAGCCCCGGCUAACUACGUGCCAGCCGCCGCCGUAA